GACGAACGCUGGCGGCGUGCUUAACACAUGCAAGUCGAACGGAAAGGCCCUGCUUUUGUGGGGUGCUCGAGUGGCGAACGGGUGAGUAACACGUGAGUAACCUGCCCUUGACUUUGGGAUAACUUCAGGAAACUGGGGCUAAUACCGGAUAGGAGCUCCUGCUGCAUGGUGGGGGUUGGAAAGUUUCGGCGGUUGGGGAUGGACUCGCGGCUUAUCAGCUUGUUGGAGGGGUAGUGGCUUACCAAGGCUUUGACGGGUAGCCGGCCUGAGAGGGUGACCGGCCUCAUUGGGACUGAGAUACGGCCCAGACUCCUACGGGAGGCAGCAGUGGGGAAUAUUGCACAAUGGGCGGGAGCCUGAUGCAGCAACGCCGCGUGCGGGAUGACGGCCUUCGGGUUGUAAACCGCUUUCGCCUGUGACGAAGCGUGAGUGACGGUAAUGGGUAAAGAAGCACCGGCUAACUACGUG
rnacentral:rRNA from 1 species